GAGGAAGCUGAGGGCAGAACAAGGAGCAUCUAACAGAAGUUUAUCCCCACAGGUCUUCAGUGAAAGAGCAAAUUCAGAGGAAGGCUCUUUGGGAACAGGGGAGUGAUAUAUAUGGAGAUGAAGGUGAUGCAAAAACAGAAGAUAUCAAUGGAAAAGCAAUUUUUAAAAAAUCUGCCAGUUCAUCACUAAAUUGCAGCCAGAACCCCCAGAGAUUCUAAUCCUGGUCUGAUAUGUUGGACAUCACCACUGCUUGCUCGACGGCUAAUAAAGCACAGAAGGGCCAAAUUCCUGUCUUUUGGUUCUGCCAUAGUGUAAGUUUUCAGAAGAGCAAGGGAGCUGCCCCUACUAGAGAUAUGCCACUUCAUGUCUGUCUUAGGUCAGUUUUCAGUCAAAGUCUGUGCCCAGCCUUGCAGAGC